UUGAGCUGAACAUUUUAAAAUAACAGUUUUAUUGAGAUACAAUUCACAUAUCAUAGAAUUCAUCCAUUUAAAUUAUACAAUUUAAUAGUUUUUAGUAUAUACAGAUAUAUACAAUCACUUACUAUAGUCAAUUUUAGAACCUUUUCAUCACCACUAAAAGAAACUGUACCCUUUAGCUAUCACCUUCCUAUAGCCCCCUCCUUCUCAGACUUAAGCAAUUACUAACCUACUUUCUGUCUCUGUAAAUUUUCCUAUUCUUCACAUUUAGUAUAAAUGGUGUCAUAUAAUAUGUGGUCUUUUGCAACUGGCUUUUUUUCAUUUAGCAUAAUAUUUUCAAGGUUCAUCUGUACUGUGGCACAAAUCAGUACUUUAUUUUUUUUUAUGGCCAAAUAUUAUUCCAUUGUGUGGAUAUACCACUUUUAUUUAUCAAUUCAUCAGCUGGUAGAUAUUUGGGUUGUUUCCACCUUAUGGCCCUUAUGAAUAAUGGGCUAUAAGAUUAAUGUGCAAGUGUUUGUGUAGAAAUGUUUCCAUUUCUCGUGGGUAUGCACCGAGGAGUGGAAGUGUUGGGUCAUAUGAUAACCCUUUGCUGAACUUUUUGAGAAACUGCCAGAAAACAAUUUCCACAGGGGGUGCAUGAUUUUACUUUCCCACGAGCAGCAUAUGAGGGUUUUGAUUGCUCCACACCCUCACCAAUACUUGUUGUUAUCUGUCUUUUUGAUUAUAGCCAUCCUAGUGGGUGUGUGGUGGUAUCUCGUUGUGGUUUCAUUUGCAUUUCCCUGAUGACUAAUUAUCUUGAACAUUUUGAUUUAUGUGCUUUUCUUAAUAUACGUCCUACUUUAAUAAAAAAAAAAACAGUGUAUUUUUAAAAUACACUUGCUUCUUGACCCCUGAUGCCCAUAAAAAUUGCUCAGUUCUGAAAACACGGAACCCAGAACUUCUGGAGGCUAGAGAUUUUGCAUCUCCCAGAUGGAAUUCACCUCUGGAGGUAACCAAGUCAUUUUGGGGCCAAGCUAGACUGGAGCUGCUCUCUUUCCCAGUAAGAAAUUUCCCCUGGAUCAUACACAGAAAGGCUCCAAAUGGACCUGUGUACAGGUAUGUAUUUUUCCCCUUAUACUCAGGUAAACUCGGGUUGUGAAAUGGGGUGGAAGGCUUGUAUUCAGACAUGGGUCAGCUAUCUGAAAGACUAUGUGGCACUGGACAAGGACUUGAGUCCUUCUCUUCAUCAAGGCACAAAGUUCAGCACAAGAAGAUUGAUGCACUUGAUCCAGACAUGGAGCUUGAGAAGAGAAUCAUCCCUAGAUCAAAUGAAAGGUAAUCCUUAACAACAUGUGUUACUUGUCCUACUUUACAUAUGGGGAACCUGAAGCUUAGAGCAGUAAUUCACUCAAGCCUCAAAGUAACUUAGUCUGCAAAAAGCCUUACUUUUCAAUUCCCCCCCUCCUUAGAUGGUAGAGUGAAAGCCUGGUGCCUUGGCAUUACCCCCUGAGUACAGUUAGCUGCGUUUUCAAGGCAGCCUGAUGACCUGGUCUCUGUAGCCCAUGUUUAGUUCUGGGGCCAGCCACUGCCAUGCACGCCUCUGGUGAACCUGUGUGCUGGGUUCUUUCUUUUCCUCCUAUUGGGUGCAAGAUCUUAACAUUGCUCUACUUUCAUUCCAGCACUAGGUACCAGUAUUUUUUGAAAGUUAAGGGAGGUAUGUUAGUUGGGUUCCCCAGGAAACCCUCUACUGAAGUAGAGUUAAGAGUGCAAAUGGUUUCGAGGGAGUAUGUGUGAAAGAAGGGGAGCAAGCAGAAUUGGGCAGAGGGACCCAUAAGAUGCACACCUAAAGUCUCUGCCAGCUCGAUGGGGAGUUGCAGAGCAAGAACUGCCUAACCAAGGAGUCCCACAUUGGUGUGAAAUCACUGGGUCUUUAUAUGACCACCUGUCCCCACCUGGCUCCUCCAAGGAAGUUGAAGUGGAUUCUGAAGAAGCUAAAAUCUGGCACCCAUUAGGUAGACACACUCUUCAAGUCCUUUAUUAAAAAAGGAGCUGAGCAGUACAUGUCCUCAUUUGCCAGCAGUCCAGACAAAGCCAGACAUUCCUACAGGAAUCAGUUAUUGUCUGGCUAGCUCAGGGAAUGGCUUGGAAUUCUGGAAAAAUGGACUACAAACCUGGGCUAUAAACUGAAGAGCAUGUUGAUUCCAAUCUCCCACCCCUCCUUUUUUGUGGGUCACAUCAUGAGUGGUGUGUCACUGGGCUAGAAGGAUUCUGCAAGGUCCUUUGGGCCUCAGUACUCAAGGACUUGGGGACAGGUGAGUUACCUCGUGUCCUUUAUGCUGUCACACCUAUGUGAAUUCAGGUCUCUGCUGUAGGCCACAGUCACGAUGGUCAUCGUCACCAUUUUCCCAUAUGCACUUUACCCAGCAUCAACCAGCAUUCUUAGAAUACCAAAUUGAACUAGAGUAGAAUACAAAAGGAAGAUUCUAGUUCACCUUGUCUUCUAGAAACUUCUUGUAUUUGGAACAAUCACAUGCUAUGCCAAAUAUAGAAUGAAUACAGUGACCUCCUGGGUUCUGUGAUCCUGGGUUCCCAAUUUCCCCUCUAUAGAAUGGGAAUUACUAUGACUGCCUCAAGCCUCACCCUGAAAAGGCUAUAGAGACUUCAAUGGUAUAAUGGAGGUGGAAGCCUUUGAGCACCUCAUUCCAAAGUUAUCAGAGCAUCUUUUGCCUAAGGCUCUUGAAGCCUCUUAAAAGCACCACCACAUUUUCAUCAUACAAAAAUUACCCAAGAGAGAUCUCCUCAUUACCAGCACUUGGUGGGAAUCUGGCAUUCAUCCUCACAAUUCCCCUAUGAUCACAGAGUCUUACCACAAAGGGCAUCUUUCUGCUAGUUUAUCUGCAGAACGGUCUGGGGCAGAAGGCAAAAGCACCAGACUAUCUCGCUUGCCUCCCCGCCUCUGCUGGGGCCCAGGCAACGUUCACCAGUGUGGUCCCCAGAACUCUGGUCUCCUUGGCAUAGUUAUUUUGUCCGCCAAGCUAACGUUUAUAAUUUUACUUCCUACUGAGGACACAUUGAGAGAAUUUUUGCCCACUGUUCAAAUUCAUGGGACUAAUAUGUUACUGGGAAGAUGUCCAAUGUCCAGGGGGAACAGGGGAAGCAGAAGACAAAGCCUGCUAAAGCGGGAAGGGACUUGCCUUCACUUCCUCAUUCACAGGUGAAGCAGACACGAUGAGCAGCUGCCCAGCCGGGCUGGACUCUGUUCACCUGAUCAAAGUAUACCGGUUCUGACUUCAAAGGUGUUGAGUGAGGUGGUAAGAACUUGGGCUUUAGAGUGAUGGGUUCUGGCUCUGCCACUUACUGUCUAAGAUUGGGCAAGUGACUUAAUCAUGAAGAACCUCAGUCUCUUCAGCUAUAAAUUAGAGAUCAUAACUCCCACCCUGCAGGAUUGCUAUGAUGAGAGAUAACAUAUGAAGAGUAACUGGAUUACAAUAGAUACUCAAUAAGUGGUAAUUAUUAAAAUCAUUACAUUUUCUGCUAUAAAUUCAAAAAGUACUUAUUGAACAUUUACUCUAUUCACCCAUCUUUUCAAACAUCCAUUCAUUCCAAAAACAUUUCUGAGCUCAAGAUUAUGCUGAGGUCAGUGAGGGGUCCUACCGAGAAAUAGAAAGCAGGCUCCUUGAGUUCAAGAAACUCAAACUUUGACUGGAAAAUAAUAUAUUAGAAAAGAAUAGAAUUAUAAAAUGGAAGCCAUCACACCUUCUUGACUGUGCUGUGGGAGUUAAGUGGGUAAGCCUGCAAGCUUGGCCUGUGGCCCCAGGCAGACUUAAUGGGUAGCCCAACUAGAGUUGUAUCUUACAUGGGGAGAGAGGCAGAGUCAGCCAAUCUACUAUGAAUCUUGGAAGCAUGGGUUUUAGGUCCCCUCACCUAGAAGGGCUUCUUCCAAGGCUCUGUACCUAAUUUUGUUUUUCUUGUCUAUGGAGGGCCCCCCCCUCCGCAAAUUGCAUAAACUUCAAGACCCACAAACCCUGGAUUAUCUCUCAUGGAGGACUGAGUUUUAAAGUCAGAAGAUAAAGUAGGAACUGACAAGCUCAUGCCUCGCAGCAUGCUCUUGGAAAGCACACAGGAGAGGUGAAGAAUCAGGAUACCCUGAGAUCUGAAAGGAAGGUAUGAAUCAAGUCAAGCUGAACAGUGGAGCAAGAAUUUGAAAGUUGGAAGCCUCUUGGACUAAGAGAAAAGAUAAAGGUGCCAGGUGGUGAGGAAUGUGAGGGCAGGGAACUAUACUUUAAACAGAAUACUCAUACAAUUUUCACAUUACAUGUGCAAGAAUAGUGUAUAAUGCAUAAUGGUAGAACCAUGUUUGGAGUCACACUGAUCUGAGCUCUACUUAUUUGAACUCCAUGACUUAGGACAGGUCAAGGAACAUCUUAGAAUUUCAGUUUCAUUUGUAAAUGAUAAUAGUAAUACUUAUCUCGAAAGUAUUACUUUUGGAAUUUUAGGUUAUAAAAUUAGGGAGAUAUUUUUCUGAAAAUGAUUUGUAAACUGUAAAGAGUUCUGUUUACCAAUAUUGGUUCUAAUUCAUUUUACUCACACUGUAGAAAGAAUGUCCUUGUUCACUAACCUGAUAAUAGCGGAAGGACCCUUGGGGGAAAACAAACAAAGAAACAAACAAACCCAGCUCUGGUACUCUCAGAGUAAAAAUUCCAGCUUAUUACAUACUUGUGAGCAAUUCCCUAAUUUCUCCAAUCCUCAGUUUCUCUAUCUAAAUCAUGAAAGUUAUUAUACUUUGCCUUUAAACACCAGUGAGGUAAUAUCUUGAUCAGAUUUAAGUUCCUUGGGAGGAAAUAAAUGAAAAUAUCCAAUUCACUUUCCUUAUUUGGACCUUUACUAGAAUUUGGAAAGGAGACUCUCUCAAGCCUUUAAGCAACGGGGAAGACCGCUGAGUGCCACAGCCCACCUUGGGCUGGACUGUAAUGAGAAGGACAUUGAUUGAGUGCUAGCUGUUGGACAUAUGGUUUUGCCUCACCCUCGUAACAGGCUAGUAUGUUUGACAUUAUGGCUUAUAUUAUACAGAUGAGGAAAAUGGGGCUCAGAAUAUUUGAGCAAAUACUUUAGUUCCCACCUCUAGUAAAUGGAGGAGCAGAACGUCAGACCCAGAUCAAUGCUGGAACCUCCUUUUCCUGGUGUCCCCAGUUGACCUGCAGCUCCUUUGUGUCCAGGACAAGGAGGAUUGAACCUAUGUUCUACAGGAAGUCAGGCCUGUGACAGAUCAGUGUCCAAAGUGAGAGACUCUGUCUUCCUGUAUGUUGUGGCUGUUUCUGUUAAGCAGUGUCUUCAAAGGUCUAAUGAAGGAGGCCACCAUGGUGCCUGCAUGUCACAGAAAGAAUGUGGGCUCACAUCUUCACAAUGGCAGAGAUGGGUACAAAAGCAAAGACCACAUCAAUUUUGGAGCAUUUCCACCUGUGUGUGAUGUUUGACAUCCUUCAGGCACGGUCUGAGAGAGGGACUGGACCAGCAUCUUCUGAACAUUGUAUUGUGGGGGAACGACACAGAUAUGAGGAACUCUUCCCCCUGCAGAUACACCUGUGGCACGAGCCACCCUUCCCCCAUCCCCUAAGGCAGAGUCUCCUCUCCAUCCCGUGCACACCCUUGUUGGUUUAUAGGUCCCCACUAUUAGAUGAGUAAUAAACAGUAGGAUAUAAGCUUCCCUUCUGGCCAAUCCCAGAGCUAAAGUAACAUGUUCAAACACCCUGUUAUUAUUAUUACCAAUGAUAAUAAGAGGAAUAAUGAGCAAGAAUUGCUUUUAUUAAAUAAAUCAGGAAAAUGCACUUUACAACAUGUUCCAGAGACAUGUCAAGAGGCUCUCUAAAUGUCUGGAUGGUGUUGGAGCUUGCGUUGCUCGCCAUUAUGAGGGAGUUUUUCUACAAUUACUGGUCUCUCAACAGCAGGUUAGGACUCAUCUUAUAAAUAUAUAAUAACAUAAACGGGCUUUCUGUUUAUCAA